rnacentral:rRNA from 1 species
GAUCAUGGCUCAGGACGAACGCUGGCGGCGUGCCUAACACAUGCAAGUCGAGCGGGGACAUACGACGGAGUCAAAGUUUCGGAUGGAGACAAAGAUGUAUGUUCUAGCGCGGACGGGUGAGUAACGCGUGAGCAACCUGUCCCUUACAGGGGGAUAACACAGCGAAAGUUGUACUAAUACCGCAUAAGACCACGGAAGGACAUCCUUCAGGGGUCAAAAGGAGCAAUCCGGUAAGGGGUGGGCUCGCGUCCGAUUAGAUAGUUGGUGAGGUAACGGCCCACCAAGUCGACGAUCGGUAGCCGACCUGAGAGGGUGAUCGGCCACAUUGGGACUGAGACACGGCCCAAACUCCUACGGGAGGCAGCAGGUGGGAAUAGUUGGCAAUGGGGGAACCCUUGACCCAGCAACGCCGCGUGAGGGAAGAAGGUUUUCGGAUCGUAAACCUCUGUCCUUGGUGAAGAGUGAGAGACGGUAGCCAAGGAGGAAGCCCCGGCUAACUACGUGCCAGCCGCUGC